rnacentral:rRNA from 1 species
AACGGCGAGUGAAGCGGCAAGAGCUCAAAUUUGAAAUCUGGCCUCCCUUGGGGGGUACGAGUUGUAAUUUGUAGAGGAUGCUUCGGGUGUGGCCGCCGUCUAAGUUCCUUGGAACAGGACGUCGUAGAGGGUGAGAAUCCCGUCUUGGGCGGCCGGUCCGCGCCCGUGUGAAGCUCCUUCGACGAGUCGAGUUGUUUGGGAAUGCAGCUCUAAGCGGGUGGUAAAUUUCAUCUAAAGCUAAAUACUGGCCGGAGACCGAUAGCGCACAAGUAGAGUGAUCGAAAGGUUAAAAGCACCUUGAAAAGGGAGUUAAACAGCACGUGAAAUUGUUGAAAGGGAAGCGCUUGCGGCCAGACUCGAGGGGCGGGGUUCAGCGGGUGCGCGUCACCCGUGCACUCCCCGUCCCCCCGGGCCAGCAUCAGUUUCGACGGCCGGUCAAAGGCCCCCGGAAUGUGUCGUCUCUAGGGACGUCUUAUAGCCGGGGGUGCAAUGCGGCCCGCCGGGACUGAGGAACGCGCUCCGGCUCGGAUGCUGGCGUAAUGGCCGUAAGCGGCCCGUCUUGAAACACGGACCAAGGAGUCUAACAUCCACGCGAGUGUUCGGGUGUCAAACCCGUGCGCGCAGUGAAAGCGAACGGAGGUGGGAGCCCUAGGGCGCACCAUCGACCGAUCCUGAAGUCUUCGGAUGGAUUUGAGUAGGAGCGUGGCCGUUGGGACCCGAAAGAUGGUGAACUAUGCCUGAAUAGGGUGAAGCCAGAGGAAACUCUGGUGGAGGCUCGCAGCGGUUCUGACGUGCAAAUCGAUCGUCAAAUUU